CCUACGGGAGGCAGCAGUGGGGGAUAUUGCACAAUGGGGGGAACCCUGAUGCAGCGACGCCGCGUGGGUGAAGGAGCGUUUCGGCGCGUAAAGCCCUAUCGGCAGGGAAGAAGAUGACGGUACCUGACCAAGAAGCCCCGGCGAACUACGUGCCAGCAGCCCCGGCAAAACGCAGGGGGCAAGCGUUAUCCGGAUGUACUGGGUGUAAAGGGGGCGCAGACGGCAAUGCAAGCCAGGAGGGAAAGCCCGGGGCCCAACCCCGGGACUGCUCUUGAAACUGCAUGGCUGGAGUACAGGAGGGGCAGGCGGAAUGCGUGGUGUAGCGGUGAAAUGCGUAGAUAUUAGGAAGAACACCGAUGGCGAAGGCGGCCUGCUGGACUGUGACUGACGUUGAGGCCCGAAGGCGUGGGGAGCGAACAGGAUUAGAUACCCUGGUAGUC
rnacentral:rRNA from 1 species